UACGGAGGGGGCUAGCGUUGUUCGGAAUUACUGGGCGUAAAGCGCACGUAGGCGGCUUUGUAAGUUAGAGGUGAAAGCCCAGGGCUCAACCCUGGAAUUGCCUUUAAGACUGCAUCGCUUGAAUCAUGGAGAGGUGAGUGGAAUUCCGAGUGUAGAGGUGAAAUUCGUAGAUAUUCGGAAGAACACCAGUGCGAAGGCGACUCACUGGACAUGUAUUGA
rnacentral:rRNA from 1 species